CACUUGAAAAAACAGCAAGUUUCUUAGAGAAGUCCACCAUAAAAGCUCAUGUACAAGCAUGACUUAAUGGACACCAAUGUAAGAGGAUCCCUACCCCUGUUACUGAAAGGAAGAGAGCAGAACAGAGGUAGCCAGCAGAGCAAGUGCUGCUUGCAGAGAGCCUGACAGCAAGGAACAGCAGGUAAGAGGGGCAGAAGCAUGAGAACAGAACUCUCCUGAAAGAGGAGGAACCUGAGUUCAUUAGAAGAGGAGAAUCUUCUGCCUGCUGAAAGCAAGUGUACCGAAGGGGUGAGGAUUUGAUUGAGAACUGUUUAUGUUUACCGGGGAGGGGAGUGUUGUUGAGGACAGUUUAUGUGCCCAGUGAAGUUCUGUUUUUGUUUAUAUCCCCCACAGGCCUGGAAACAACAGGAAAGAGGGGUCAGGGGCUGCACAGCAGAAUGCAGAAUGCUCUGCAAAUUGUAGAGUUUUUUUCUUUUUGGCUUUUUCCUGAGAGGAACAAACCAGAGAGGAGAAGGGCUAGAGACAAAGUUGAUGCCUUACCACAGAGCUGAGGCCUGGAUCCAAGAAAGAGGAAGCUGCUGAACAAAGAUGUGAGGAGGCGUGGCUGAAGCCCAGGCCAGGAUCAGGGACCUGGGGCCUGAAGCGAGGAUGGUCAGGAGACCAGAUAAACACAGAUUGAGUAAAACCUGUGAGGCUAUGGGGGUGGCUGGAGGCCACAAUUCUUGCCCUUAAGAAGCCAUCGUUUUCAACAGCCCUGAACUGAAGAAGGAUUUGCUUUUACUGCAGCAGUAGCGUAUCCAGCACCAGGAGUAAAUUGUAAAGCCGGAAGGGACCUUGGAAGAUCAU